rnacentral:misc_RNA from 1 species
AACCUAGUGCCUAUAGCUAAGGCAGGUACCUGCAUCCUUGUUUUUGUUUAGUGGAUCCUCUAUCCUUCAGAGACUCUGGAACCCCUGUGGUCUUCUCUUCAUCUAAUGACCCUGAGGGGAUGGAGUUUUCAAGUCCUUCCAGAGAGGAAUGUCCCAAGCCUUUGAGUAGGGUAAGCAUCAUGGCUGGCAGCCUCACAGGAUUGCUUCUACUUCAGGCAGUGUCGUGGGCAUCAGGUGCCCGCCCCUGCAUCCCUAAAAGCUUCGGCUACAGCUCGGUGGUGUGUGUCUGCAAUGCCACAUACUGUGACUCCUUUGACCCCCCGACCUUUCCUGCCCUUGGCUCCUGGGAUCGAGGGAUGCAGUACAGCCACAGCAUCAUCACGAACCUCCUGUACCAUGUGGUCGGCUGGACCGACUGGAACCUUGCCCUGAACCCCGAAGGAGGACCCAAUUGGGUGCGUAACUUUGUCGACAGUCCCAUCAUUGUAGACAUCACCAAGGACACGUUUUACAAACAGCCCAUGUUCUACCACCUUGGCCACUUCAGCAAGUUCAUUCCUGAGGGCUCCCAGAGAGUGGGGCUGGUUGCCAGUCAGAAGAACGACCUGGACGCAGUGGCACUGAUGCAUCCCGAUGGCUCUGCUGUUGUGGUCGUGCUAAACCGCUCCUCUAAGGAUGUGCCUCUUACCAUCAAGGAUCCUGCUGUGGGCUUCCUGGAGACAAUCUCACCUGGCUACUCCAUUCACACC